rnacentral:lncRNA from 1 species
GCAGCUGGGAAGCCGUCCAAUCUGGAGAGCCUCUACAAUUAGCAAAACAAGGUCUGGAAUUCCUGGACUUCACUCCUUGUUAGCGAGAAAGCGAAACACGUGAUGUUCUGCUUUGCUCUCAGUGUCAAAACCUUGUGCUCAUGGGCCCUGGCGGCUACACAGAAAGCCCUGAGGACUGAAACCCUGCAUGGGUACAUUUUGAUGGGGCAGGAAGAAAAGUUCUGGAGUGUGGAGAGCAGAGGUCCAGAGCAUUCACUGAUUUAGCCACAGAAGAAACAGAUGCGGAAACCGGGGCACAGCAGGCGAAGUGAAACUUCCCAUGUUCCAGCAAAGCCCAGUCCAUAACGUGAGGCUUUGUGAGGUUUGUGUGUGCGACCUUCACCCCUUCACCUGGACCCUCUCUUUGUCCUCCUUUCGCACCCAGUGAUGUGUGGCCUGGAUCACUUCCCUGCCCUCAAGUCUUGCCCUGGCCUGACGUUCAGCGGACCCUCCGUGCAUUAAGGAUGGAGGAUGGUUCCUUGUGCUUCCUCUACCAGGUGCACUUGUAUCUGCUCGGAAUUCUGGAAGAGCAAAGACCCACUGGCCCCACUAAUCCAUCUAUUGAUCCUGCCCCGGUCAGCAGGCUGGGUCUAGCCUCCACACUGCCGCUGCUCAGGGUCUGUGGAGGAAGUCGCUGCAGCCAUUCAGCCAGAUGAAUCGCAAUUAAUAAAUGUGGAACGAAUGAGAGACGAAGACGAUGAGCACCAGAGGACUGCAGGGAGCACGGCUGAGGCAACAUCACCAGAGGAUAGUAAAAUUAGCAGACAGAGAUCUAAGCACAAACAGUGUCUCUGUGUAGCCUUAAAGCAUCUCUUUGAAUAUUUAAUGGUUACAAAGGAAAAACAGUGAGUUGAUGGGGGAGAACCCUGGCAGGCACCACCCUAACCAAGAGAUCAAAGUUGGCAUGACCAGGCACAAGGCACACUAACAGCCCACACCCACUGAUCUGGCCCACCGAAAAUGCACAUCACUUCUGUGGCAUUGCCACGGAAUUUCCAAAAAGGCAUUACCUCAGUCCAAUGCAGAGAAGGCGUCAGGCAGACCUAGGCGGAGAGACUGUCCAAGAGCGACAGACCCAUCCUCUUAAAAAGCCGGCCCUGACACAGAAAGGAGACAGAGAAAGGUGACAGCCAAAUGCACGUGGGAGCUGGGAACAGAGGAGGGCACUGGGAGGGGCCUGCCUGCCGUCCAGCUCUCGAGACCACGGCGAGAUUCAGAAGGGAAUUGGGCCAUUCCUUCUCCAAAGCAGAACGUACUGCAGCUGUGAGAGUUCUAGGAGAAAAUUCAGGUGGAUGCUUCUGUAAUCUUGGAAUGGAGGCUAAGCCUGGCAACAAUGCUAGAAAACAGUGCUGAAGUUUGACAGAUUUAGCCACAUACAAUGGCAAAUGACAAACUGUAAAAGGAAUUCUUGUGAGACAGAGGAAGGAAGGAAGGAAGGAAGGAAGGAAGGAAGGAAGGAAGGUAGGAAGGAAGAAAGGAAGGAAGGAAGGGGCACCCUAAUAGGGCAAACAGUAGUAUAGGUCAGAAAUAACUUUGAAAGAACCACAGGGUGCUGGUGGGCCAAUCAGGGACAGACAGACCCCCUCUUCCAGGGGCUGGGCUGGGCUGGGGUGGGGUCCACAGGUGCAGCCCUGGAGCUGGGCUUGCCUGUCUGCAUCCAAGCAUCCCUGUGCUUUCCCUGUGAGCUGGCAGUCCCCACUAUGAGAUUCUAGCCUGGGAAUGUGCUAUAGGGAAGCUUACAGCAGCAGAUCAUAGAAAAGCAAAAUAGAAAUGUGAAAGGAAAAUAAAAACUUGGGACCCCUACUCCCUCCGCCAAAAGAAAAAAAAAAUGCUGAAAGUGGAGUCAUGCAAGAAGCUGCCUUUCCCUUUGUUCCUAAGCAGAUAGAGACAGAUAAAAGGUUAAAGAUCUCCACUCUGCAUUCACCUUAUCUUGUGUGAAGAGUCGAGUUACUGAGCAUGGGACGAACACAUAACUGACCAUUCCCCUACAUGCUCCUUUUCUUUUGCAACAUUUGGAUUCAGUAAUGUGACCAUACCCUCCCUCUGUCCCCUCCAGCUGGCUUUUUCCUUUAAAUACUGAAGCCCUCGAAAUCAUCUUUGGAGAAAGGCACAGACCUGUCUCCCAAGACGUGUCCUUAAUCUUGGCAAAGUAAACUUCUAAGUUGAUCGAGGCUUGUCUCAGAUAUUUUCAGGUUUACAGAAAGAAAUUCAAUUUCAGUCACAAACGGAAUGAUAAAAUAAGUUGUUACGCAUCCAUAGAAAGAAGAUAUUAACAUGAUGAACUUUCAAAUCAGCUUCUCAAGUGUCAACAUCCUGUUGCGAUUUUCAUUGAUAUUGAACUGAAUUUAUAGAUUUUGUAAGCAGAAAAAAAUUAUUUUAAUUUUUUGAGAAAAAAAGUUUUAAAUGGUUUGUUUUCAGACUGUGUCAAGAUAUCCCUACCUCCGAAGUUGUCAGGUUUGCGGACCUUGGGGUGAAGCGUGGGGCUGCUGGAGGCGUCCAGCCCUGACUGUGUGUCCAGGACAAUGAGCCCCGAAGUGAGCGGGCCGCGUCCUGUUGGCGCAGCCAACUUCACGCCCUCUGUCCAGGGAGGACUAAGGGACAAGCUGCAGCAGGCGCAGAGGACGCUGUUGGUGUCCGGGAGGCCGCUGGUACAGGGCGUUGGGCGUGGCUCCUUUCCAAGUGCCUUGCACUUUCCAGGCUGGGCUGCAGAAGCAGGCUCGGGGGCGACUCGCGUGGGGACUGAAGCAGCCAGCCUUGGCACCUGCCCACAGCAAAUAACUGCCUUGACUUGAUCUGGUUUUUUUGAAGAAAGGUUUAUUCAUACCCAUUAUGUGCGCAUGU